AGAGUUUGAUCCUGGCUCAGGACGAACGCUGGCGGCGUGCCUAAUACAUGCAAGUCGAACGAAGCUUUCUUUCACCGAAUGCUUGCAUUCACCGAAAGAAGCUUAGUGGCGAACGGGUGAGUAACACGUAGGCAACCUGCCCAAAAGAGGGGGAUAACACUUGGAAACAGGUGCUAAUACCGCAUAACCAUGAACACCGCAUGAUGUUCGUGUAAAAGACGGCUUUUGCUGUCACUUUUGGAUGGGCCUGCGGCGUAUUAACUUGUUGGUGGGGUAACGGCCUACCAAGGUGAUGAUACGUAGCCGAACUGAGAGGUUGAUCGGCCACAUUGGGACUGAGACACGGCCCAAACUCCUACGGGAGGCAGCAGUAGGGAAUCUUCCACAAUGGACGAAAGUCUGAUGGAGCAACGCCGCGUGAAUGAAGAAGGCCUUCGGGUCGUAAAAUUCUGUUGUCAGAGAAGAAUGUGCGUGAGAGUAACUGUUCACGUAUUGACGGUAUCUGACCAGAAAGCCACGGCUAACUACGUGCCGGCAGCCGCGGUAAUACGUAGGUGGCAAGCGUUGUCCGGAUUUAUUGGGCGUAAAGGGAACGCAGGCGGUCUUUUAAGUCUGAUGUGAAAGCCUUCGGCUUAACCGAAGUAGUGCAUUGGAAACUGGAAGACUUGAGUGCAGAAGAGGAGAGUGGAACUCCAUGUGUAGCGGUGAAAUGCGUAGAUAUAUGGAAGAACACCAGUGGCGAAAGCGGCUCUCUGGUCUGUAACUGACGCUGAGGUUCGAAAGCGUGGGUAGCAAACAGGAUUAGAUACCCUGGUAGUCCACGCCGUAAACGAUGAGUGCUAAGUGUUGGAGGGUUUCCGCCCUUCAGUGCUGCAGCUAACGCAUUAAGCACUCCGCCUGGGGAGUACGGUCGCAAGACUGAAACUCAAAGGAAUUGACGGGGGCCCGCACAAGCGGUGGAGCAUGUGGUUUAAUUCGAAGCAACGCGAAGAACCUUACCAGGUCUUGACAUCUUCUGACAAUUCCAGAGAUGGAACGUUCCCUUCGGGGACAGAAUGACAGGUGGUGCAUGGUUGUCGUCAGCUCGUGUCGUGAGAUGUUGGGUUAAGUCCCGCAACGAGCGCAACCCUUAUUGUCAGUUGCCAUCAUUAAGUUGGGCACUCUGGCGAGACUGCCGGUGACAAACCGGAGGAAGGUGGGGAUGACGUCAAAUCAUCAUGCCCCUUAUGACCUGGGCUACACACGUGCUACAAUGGACGGUACAACGAGUCGCUAACUCGCGAGGGCAAGCUAAUCUCUUAAAGCCGUUCUCAGUUCGGAUUGCAGGCUGCAACUCGCCUGCAUGAAGUCGGAAUCGCUAGUAAUCGCGAAUCAGCAUGUCGCGGUGAAUACGUUCCCGGGCCUUGUACACACCGCCCGUCACACCAUGAGAGUUUGUAACACCCAAAGUCGGUGGGGUAACCUUUUGGAGCCAGCCGCCUAAGGUGGGACAGAUGAUUGGGGUGAAGUCGGAACAAGGUA
rnacentral:rRNA from 1 species